CGAACACAGAGAGAGUUUGCGAGAGGGUGAGACUGAGAGAUAGAGAUCGAGAGAGAAGAGACUCUGAGAGAGGGUGAGACAGAAGCCGAUUUUCGGAGAUUAGGAGCGAUUUCCGGCGACUGGGCAAGGGGUCGAUGACGACAGAACCAGGGGAGGCUUCCGGUGGAAUUUUCAGUGGCCUGAGACAUGAUUUCUGGUUGAUUUUCUAGAGAUUUGUAAUAGAGAAAUAUCUUAUGUAAUCACAGCUGAGGAUAUCAGAAUGGAGCUGGGUAUCUCGCUGAUUCGUGACCAAGAAGUACAAUUAUCAAAGGAAACUGGAUUAUGGUUUUGAUUUAAAGCCAUGGUGUUUCCCCCAGGAAUCUGCUCCAAUAGUAAUUUUGUCUUGACAGGUGAAAAAGAAGUGUGAAAAAUGCUAUAAUGACGAGGCUGAGUAUUGGACUAUGCAGAUGAGAUCCGCGGAUGAAGGGCAGACUACAUUUUAUUGUUGCACCAAAUGCGGCCAUAAGUAUUCAGAGAAUUAAGUUUGUACAAAAUAUGAGAUUUCAGGACAUGCAUGAAUGUGGUUAACCUCUCCUUGGGCAUCAAUAAGAAAUGCCCUUCAUUGAAGUGGCAUAGUUCAACUGUUGCGGCCUGCCCUUUCUCUCCCUAAUUACUCUAUGAUCUGUUAAACGUUGCUGUUUAUGAAAAUAUGUUAUUUGGUCAUGGUUCUUCCUA